CAGUCGCCACGGGAAUACGUAGGGUGCAAGCGUUAAUCGGAAUUACUGGGCGUAAAGCGUGCGCAGGCGGUGUUGUAAGACUGAUGUGAAAUCCCCGGGCUCAACCUGGGAACUGCAUUGGUGACUGCAACGCUGGAGUGCGGCAGAGGGGGAUGGAAUUCCGCGUGUAGCAGUGAAAUGCGUAGAUAUGCGGAGGAACACCGAUGGCGAAGGCAAUCCCCUGGGCCUGUACUGACGCUCAUGCACGAAAGCGUGGGGAGCAAACAGGAUUAGAUACCCCCGUAGUCCCUGUCUCUUAUAC
rnacentral:rRNA from 1 species